rnacentral:rRNA from 1 species
AGAGUUUGAUCAUGGCUCAGGACGAACGCUGGCGGCACGCUUAACACAUGCAAGUCGAACGAGAGAAGAGGAGCUUGCUUUUCUGAUCUAGUGGCGGACGGGUGAGUAACACGUGAGCAAUCUGCCUUUCAGAGGGGGAUACCGAUUGGAAACGAUCGUUAAUACCGCAUAACAUAAUUGAACCGCAUGAUUUGAUUAUCAAAGAUUUAUCGCUGAAAGAUGAGCUCGCGUCUGAUAAGCUAGUUGGUAAGGUAACGGCUUACCAAGGCGACGAUCAGUAGCCGGACUGAGAGGUUGAUCGGCCACAUUGGGACUGAGACACGGCCCAGACUCCUACGUGAGGCAGCAGUGGGGAAUAUUGCACAAUGGAGGAAACUCUGAUGCAGCGAUGCCGCGUGAGGGAAGAAGGUUUUAGGAUCGUAAACCUCUGUCUUCAGGGACGAAAAAAGACGGUACCUGAGGAGGAAGCUCCGGCUAACUACGUGCCAGCAGCCGCGGUAAUACGUAGGGAGCGAGCGUUGUCCGGAAUUACUGGGUGUAAAGGGAGCGUAGGCGGGAUCGCAAGUCAGAUGUGAAAACUAUGGGCUUAACCCAUAAACUGCAUUUGAAACUGUGGUUCUUGAGUGAAGUAGAGGUAAGCGGAAUUCCUAGUGUAGCGGUGAAAUGCGUAGAUAUUAGGAGGAACAUCAGUGGCGAAGGCGGCUUACUGGGCUUUAACUGACGCUGAGGCUCGAAAGCGUGGGGAGCAAACAGGAUUAGAUACCCUGGUAGUCCACGCCGUAAACGAUGAUUACUAGGUGUGGGGGGACUGACCCCUUCCGUGCCGCAGCAAACGCAAUAAGUAAUCCACCUGGGGAGUACGACCGCAAGGUUGAAACUCAAAGGAAUUGACGGGGGCCCGCACAAGCAGUGGAGUAUGUGGAUUAAUUCGAAGCAACGCGAAGAACCUUACCAGGUCUUGACAUCGUAUGCAUAGCUCAGAGAUGAGUGAAAUCUCUUCGGAGACAUAUAGACAGGUGGUGCAUGGUUGUCGUCAGCUCGUGUCGUGAGAUGUUGGGUUAAGUCCCGCAACGAGCGCAACCCUUACUGUUAGUUGCUACGCAAGAGCACUCUAGCAGGACUGCCGUUGACAAAACGGAGGAAGGUGGGGAUGACGUCAAAUCAUCAUGCCCCUUAUGACCUGGGCCUCACACGUACUACAAUGGCUGUCAACAGAGGGAAGCAAAGCCGCGAGGUGGAGCGGACCCCUAAAAGCAGUCUUAGUUCGGAUUGUAGGCUGCAACCCGCCUACAUGAAGUCGGAAUUGCUAGUAAUCGCAGAUCAGCAUGCUGCGGUGAAUACGUUCCCGGGCCUUGUACACACCGCCCGUCACGCCAUGGGAGUCGGUAACACCCGAAGCCUGUGGUCUAACCGCAAGGAGGACGCAGUCGAAGGUGGGAUUGAUGACUGGGGUGAAGUCGUAACAAGGUA